rnacentral:miRNA from 1 species
GAUCUCCCCCGCUGGAGAGAUCUUGCUGGGGCCUCCAAAAGUUAUGGCAUGAACGAUUCGAUUCUAAGACCCACGGAGCCAAUUGAGAUUAAUUAUGAGCCUUUAUUAG